rnacentral:rRNA from 1 species
UACGUGAGGUGGCAAGCGUUUGUCCGGAUUUAUUGGGUUUAAAGGGUGCGUAGGCGGUCUUUUAAGUCAGUGCUGAAAUACUCCAGCUUAACUGGAGGGGUGGCAUUGAUACUGGAAGACUUGAGUGCAGUCGAAGUAGGCGGAAUUGACGGUGUAGCGGUGAAAUGCUUAGAUAUCGUCAAGAACACCGAUAGUGAAGACAGCUUACUAGGCUGCAACUGACGCUGAGGCACGAAAGUGUGGGGAUCAAACAGG